rnacentral:rRNA from 1 species
UACGGAGGGGACUAGCGUUGUUCGGAAUUACUGGGCGUAAAGCGCACGUAGGCGGAUUUGUAAGUCAGGGGUGAAAGCCCGGGGCUCAACCCCGGGUCUGCCAUGCCGACUGUCAGGCUAGAGUACUGUAGGGGCAGGCGGAAUUCCGGGUGUAGCGGUGGAAUGCGUAGAGAUCCGGAGGAAGACCGGUGGCGAAGGCGGCCUGCUGGGCAGUUACUGACACUGAGGCGCGACAGCGUGGGGAGCAAACAGG